AUGAACGCUGGCGGCGUGCCUAAUACAUGCAAGUCGCGCGAACGGACGAGAAGCUUGCUUCUCUGAUGUUAGCGGCGGACGGGUGAGUAACACGUGGAUAACCUACCUAUAAGACUGGGAUAACUUCGGGAAACCGGAGCUAAUACCGGAUAAUAUUUUGAACCGCAUGGUUCAAAAGUGAAAGACGGUCUUGCUGUCACUUAUAGAUGGAUCCGCGCAGCAUUAGCUAGUUGGUAAGGUAACGGCUUACCAAGGCAACGAUGCAUAGCCGACCUGAGAGGGUGAUCGGCCACACUGGAACUGAGACACGGUCCAGACUCCUACGGGAGGCAGCAGUAGGGAAUCUUCCGCAAUGGGCGAAAGCCUGACGGAGCAACGCCGCGUGAGUGAUGAAGGUCUUCGGAUCGUAAAACUCUGUUAUUAGGGAAGAACAUAUGUGUAAGUAACUGUGCACAUCUUGACGGUACCUAAUCAGAAAGCCACGGCUAACUACGUG
rnacentral:rRNA from 1 species